UCCCGGCAGGCCAGCACACAUCUCCAUCCUUGCACUCCUUUUUCAUCCCUGUUCCGGGUGUUCCCCUUCUUCGAAUCUCAAUCCCUACAUACGGUACGCACUGCCGACGCUGCCACGACCAAUCGAGCAGGCAAGUUCAACACUCAGCAGGCCAGGGUAGAGAGGAGGAGGAGGAACUAGCUACAAGGAUCUUCACUACAACCAGAUGAGCCGUCGACCUACUGGAGCUAUUGAAUGCUAAAAAAAUGUCAAUGCGGUUAUGUUCCUGGAAUGGAAUCAUAUUAUUUAUCUCGGUAUAGCAAGUCGGAUAUUAGGCAAAUUUCUCAUCAAGGUUGUCGUUGCUUCUUGAAGGAGUUUCAAGAAAUCAUAUCUUCUGGCAGCAGGAGAGUGAGAAGGAUGCACUUAUACUGACAAAAGUGUCCAGGAGAAUGAACUGCUUUAUCCGAACAUACAUGAGAAGUUUGAGAAGAGAGUUUCAGACUUUAGUGCAGUGAGCAAGGCAUUUUCCCAAAUGCGCGGUGUUGUCCUUUUCAGUAAGCCACUGUAGGACUCUGCUCAUGGCAUUGUGUGAUAAUGCAGCCCAGCAAACCUUGUCUUCGUGCAGCCUAAAUUCGUGAGCAUGAGCAUCAUUCACAAGAACCUAGAACAACUGGAUUCAGAAGUGGCACACCACAUACAAAAAUGUUUUUUCAGUUCAAUUCCCACAAUAGCUUAUGUUCUUAACCUGAUGAUG